GUUUCACUAUGAAUCUUCUUCACUAACUAUUAAAACCUACGUGAUACUCUGAACUCAAGUUUCUUGAAAGAAGCACCCUAUAUCUACACUGAAGAGUCUACAAAGGCUGAGAUAAAAAAGCAUUUAUUACUAGGAACAAAAAGAACACAGCACAAAUAACCAUGGAAGGAUCAGAU
rnacentral:lncRNA from 14 species